GAUGAAGAACGUAGCGAAAUGCGAUAAGUAAUGUGAAUUGCAGAAUUCAGUGAAUCAUCGAAUCUUUGAACGCACAUUGCGCCCUUUGGUAUUCCGAAGGGCAUGCCUGUUCGAGCGUCAUUACAACCCUCAAGCUCUGCUUGGUAUUGGGCACCGUCCUUUGCGGGCGCGCCUCAAAGACCUCGGCGGUGGCGUCUUGCCUCAAGCGUAGUAGAACAUACAUCUCGCUUCGGAGCGCAGGGCGUCGCCCGCCGGACGAACCUUCUGAACUUUUCUCAAGGUUGACCUCGGAUCAGGUAGGGAUACCCGCUGAACUUAAGCAUAUCAAUAAGCGGAGG
rnacentral:misc_RNA from 1 species